UACGUAGGUGACCAGCGUUGUCCGGAUUUACUGGGCGUAAAGCGCGCGCAGGCGGUCGUUCAAGUCGAGUGUGAAAGCCCCCGGCUCAACUGGGGAGGGUCAUUCGAUACUGAUCGACUUGAAGGCAGGAGAGGGAAGUGGAAUUCCCGGUGUAGUGGUGAAAUGCGUAGAUAUCGGGAGGAACACCAGUGGCGAAGGCGACUGCCUGGCCUGUUCUUGACGCUGAGGCGCGAAAGCUAGGGGAGCAAACGGG
rnacentral:rRNA from 1 species